rnacentral:rRNA from 1 species
GGAGGAAAAGAAACCAACAGGGAUUGCCUUAGUAGCGGCGAGUGAAGCGGCAAGAGCUCAAAUUUGAAAUCUGGUACCUUCGGUGCCCGAGUUGUAAUUUGAAGAAAGCUAUCUUGGAGGUGGCCCUUGUCUAUGUUCCUUGGAACAGGACGUCAUGGAGGGUGAGAAUCCCGUGUGAUGAGGUGUCCAUUUCCGUGUAAGAUGCUUUCGAAGAGUCGAGUUGUUUGGGAAUGCAGCUCAAAGUGGGUGGUAAAUUCCAUCUAAAGCUAAAUAUUGGCGAGAGACCGAUAGCGAACAAGUACUGUGAAGGAAAGAUGAAAAGAACUUUGAAAAGAGAGUGAAAAAGUACGUGAAAUUGUUGAAAGGGAAGGGUAUUUGAUCAGACUUGGUAUUUAGCUAUCAUCGCUCCUUGUGGGUGGUGCUCUAGCUUUUUACUGGGCCAGCAUCAGUUUUGGUGGCAAGAUAAUGACAGUUGAAUGUGGCUCCUCGGAGUGUUAUAGCUUCUGUUGAUGUUGCCUACCGAGACUGAGGUCUGCGGCUUUUGCCUAGGAUGCUGGCGUAAUGAUCCAAUACCGCCCGUCUUGAAACAUGGACCAAGGAGUCUAACGUCUAUG